rnacentral:rRNA from 1 species
GAUGAACGCUAGCGACAGGCUUAACACAUGCAAGUCGAGGGGCAGCAUAGAAGUAGCAAUACUUUGGUGGCGACCGGCGCACGGGUGAGUAACGCGUAUGCAACCUACCUAUCAGAGGGGAAUAACCCGGCGAAAGUCGGACUAAUACCGCAUAAAACAGGGGCACCGCAUGGUGAUAUUUGUUAAAGAAAUUCGCUGAUAGAUGGGCAUGCGUUCCAUUAGGUAGUUGGUGAGGUAACGGCUCACCAAGCCGACGAUGGAUAGGGGAACUGAGAGGUUGGUCCCCCACACUGGUACUGAGACACGGACCAGACUCCUACGGGAGGCAGCAGUGAGGAAUAUUGGUCAAUGGGCGGGAGCCUGAACCAGCCAAGUCGCGUGAAGGAAGAAGGAUCUAUGGUUCGUAAACUUCUUUUGCAGGGGAAUAAAGUGCAGGACGUGUCCUGUUUUGUAUGUACCCUGAGAAUAAGGAUCGGCUAACUCCGUGCCAGCAGCCGCGGUAAA